GAUGAACGCUGGCGGCGUGCCUAAUACAUGCAAGUCGAGCGAACAGACGAGGAGCUUGCUCCUCUGACGUUAGCGGCGGACGGGUGAGUAACACGUGGCUAACCUACCUAUAAAACUGGGAUAACUUCGGGAAACCGGAGCUAAUACCGGAUAAUAUAUUGAACCGCAUGGUUCAAUAGUGAAAGACGGUUUUGCUGUCACUUAUAGAUGGAUCCGCGCCGCAUUAGCUAGUUGGUAAGGUAACGGCUUACCAAGGCAACGAUGCGUAGCCGACCUGAGAGGGUGAUCGGCCACACUGGAACUGAGACACGGUCCAGACCCCUACGGGAGGCAGCAGUAGGGAAUCUUCCGCAAUGGGCGAAAGCCUGACGGAGCAACGCCGCGUGAGUGAUGAAGGUCUUCGGAUCGUAAAACUCUGUUAUUAGGGAAGAACAAAUGUGUAAGUAACUAUGCACGUCUUGACGGUACCUAAUCAGAAAGCCACGGCUAACUACGUG
rnacentral:rRNA from 1 species